rnacentral:lncRNA from 1 species
AUGUAUAAACUGAAUCCUGAUUGUUGGGUUUGGUCGCCCAGACCUCCUCUGCGUCUCCAUCCUCAACACUCAGGGAGGCUGACUUCAGCUGUGCUGAGCCACCACGAAGAAGAGGAGGAGGUGGAGGAGGUGGAGGAGGAAGAGCAUCCUGCUGUUUGCUGCUACACGACAGGUUGUGAUGAUGUCAUCAGUCAGGCUGCCAAUGCCCAUUGGUCAGAACCUGUCAUCCUCUCAGGGAUCCCCAGCAGCUCUGGCCUGGCCGGACACGGUCCUGCUGCUCGUCCCUCACAGCCAGAAACAGUGACUAAUGCUGACGUAUCCCGGCAUGUCACUGGUGGUCAUUGCUGGGAGGGUCCGGUGAUGGAAGCCCAUGGAUGUGUUUGUGUUUGUGGGCAGAGGGGAACCGAAAGUCUGGAUCCCUGCUGGUCUGGAUCUCCAUACGUGUACUAUGGAGUGAGGAGGAACCUGGUGGUUGGAGUGGAGGUGGUGGAGGAGGUUGCUGUUGAAGACACUCUCGAAGUAAUAACAGAGGACAUAUACACAGAUGACCUCCUGGAUGCUGAGCUGCUGCCAGACGAACAGCUGUACCCCACAUGAGCCCUCAGUCACUGUCAGCAUUUCCAGUUUUGACU